GAUGAACGCUGGCUACAGGCUUAACACAUGCAAGUCGAGGGGAAACGCCGGGGAAGCUUGCUUCCCCGGGCGUCGACCGGCGCACGGGUGAGUAACGCGUAUCCAACCUGCCUCUGACUGAGGGAUAACCCGUCGAAAGUCGGCCUAAUACCUCAUGGCAUCGUCUGCGGGCAUCCAACGACGAUUAAAGAUUUCAUCGGUCAGGGAUGGGGAUGCGUCUGAUUAGCUUGUUGGCGGGGUAACGGCCCACCAAGGCUACGAUCAGUAGGGGUUCUGAGAGGAAGGUCCCCCACAGUGGAACUGAGACACGGUCCAAACUCCUACGGGAGGCAGCAGUGAGGAAUAUUGGUCAAUGGGCGGGAGCCUGAACCAGCCAAGUAGCGUGCAGGAUGACGGCCCUAUGGGUGUUAAACUGCUUUUAUGCGGGGAUAAAGUGAGGGACGUGUCCUUCAUUGCAGGUACCGCAUGAAUAAGGACCGGCUAAUUCCGUG
rnacentral:rRNA from 1 species